GGGAAUAUAAUAUUUAGAUUAAUCUUGGGUGAAAUAAUGUCGCUGUCUAUAUGUCUCUUAAAAGUUUGUGAUAAACUGCUUAAUGGAUAAGGAGUUAUC